CCUCCAUCUCCGCCACAAGAACCUCAAUUCCCCAAUCCCCAGAACCCAGAAAAAACACUCAGUCAAAAUCCACAAAAUUUCACCGGCAACGGCCAUCACCCUCAGAUCGCCUCGGAGACCACUCCGAGGCUCGAAAUCUCUAGAUCCCUGCUUUCCGAAAAUGGUCUCACCAACACCAAUAGCGGCGACAGGGACUUCUCUGGAGGCGAAGAGGAAACAACCAGCCGUCGACGUCGACGCAGCCGAUGGGAUCCACCAGCUGAUUCCACCACCAACAAUCAGUCCACCGAGACUAGUAACAAUGAUUCCGCUGGCGGUCCUCGCAAGCGAAAAUCUCGAUGGGCCGAUGAUGAGCCAAAGCCCGUAAUUCAACUUCCUGAUUUUAUGAAAGAUUUCACUGGAGGUAUUGAGUUUGACCCAGAAAUUCAGGCGUUGAAUGCUAGGCUUCUAGAGAUUAGUCGAAUGUUGCAAUCUGGUUUGCCUCUUGAUGAUAGACCUGAGGGAGCUAGGUCUCCUUCUCCGGAACCAAUUUAUGAUAAUAUGGGAAUUAGAAUUAAUACUAGAGAAUAUAGGGCAAGAGAGAGAUUGAACAAAGAGAGGCAAGAAAUUAUUUCUCAGAUUAUCAAGAGAAAUCCUGCCUUUAAGCCUCCUGCUGAUUACAGGCCCCCAAAGCUUCAGAAGAAACUUUACAUACCCAUGAAGGAAUACCCGGGAUAUAAUUUUAUUGGAUUGAUCAUUGGUCCAAGAGGGAAUACGCAGAAGAGAAUGGAGAGGGAAACAGGAGCCAAAAUUGUGAUUCGAGGUAAAGGGUCAGUAAAGGAGGGGAGGUUGCAGCAAAAAAG
rnacentral:misc_RNA from 1 species